rnacentral:lncRNA from 10 species
UGGUGAAAAGAACUUUGCAAGUGUAAUCAAGUUAAGGGUCUUUAUGGGGCAAUUAUCCUCAAUUAUCUAAGUGGGCUGGAUAUAAUCACAGGGUCCACAUAAGAGGGAGGCAGGAGGGUCAGAAUCCGAGGAGGAGAGGUAAUGUCUGAGGCAAAGGUCAGUGAAGUGCGGGGCAACAAGCCAAGGAACUCGGGUGGCCUCUGCAAACUGGGAAAAGAAUGGAACUGAUUCUCCCCUGCAGCUUCCAGAACAAACACCGUCCUGUCGACACCUUGAUCUUAGCCCCAGAGACCCAUUUCCAACUUCUGACUGCCAGAAAGAUGACAAUUCAUCAUUGAAUCCCCCAAAAGCAUGCAUCAA